rnacentral:rRNA from 1 species
GACGAACGCUGGCGGCGUGCCUAAUACAUGCAAGUAGAACGCUGAAGAGAGGAGCUUGCUCUUCUUGGAUGAGUUGCGAACGGGUGAGUAACGCGUAGGUAACCUGCCUUGUAGCGGGGGAUAACUAUUGGAAACGAUAGCUAAUACCGCAUAACAAUGGAUGACACAUGUCAUUUAUUUGAAAGGGGCAAUUGCUCCACUACAAGAUGGACCUGCGUUGUAUUAGCUAGUAGGUGAGGUAAUGGCUCACCUAGGCGACGAUACAUAGCCGACCUGAGAGGGUGAUCGGCCACACUGGGACUGAGACACGGCCCAGACUCCGACGGGAGGCAGCAGUAGGGAAUCUUCGGCAAUGGGGGCAACCCUGACCGAGCAACGCCGCGUGAGUGAAGAAAGUUUUCGGAUCGUAAAGCUCUGUUGUAAGUCAAGAACGGGUGUGAGAGUGGAAAGUUCACACUGUGACGGUAGCUUACCAGAAAGGGACGGCUAACUACGUG